rnacentral:sRNA from 1 species
ACAUUGGGAAGCUCUUUCCAGCUCUGGACAGGAAAACAUGAAAACAGAUGAUCCCAAGUAGAAUCCAUACCAGGAAAACCCGAAUGGAAGAACAUCAGAAAAUAGCACAUCCUUGAAGUUACAAAGCAACACAUCUGACUGAAAUGCAACUGCAGAAGCAACAUGCGACCUUUUAAAGAUGCUUGUGGGACUGCAUAAAGUGAAGAGGGAAACUGGAAAAAACAAUGAA